GACGAACGCUGGCGGCGUGCUUAACACAUGCAAGUCGACAUGAGUGGCGAACGGGUGAGUAAUACGUCGGUAACCUGCCCUCCUUUUUGGGAUAAGCCUUGGAAACGGGGUCUAAUACCGAAUACAGGGGGCGGGGGGCGCGGCCUAUCGGCUUGUUGGUGGGGUGAUGGCCUACCAAGGCGGUGACGGGUAGCCGGCCUGAUAAGGUAACCGGGAACGUUGGGACUGGGAUACGGCCCAGGGUACUAAGGGAGGGGGAAGUGGGGGAAAUGGGCGAAAGGGCGAAAGACUGAUGCAGCGAGGGUGAGUGGGGGAUGAGGGUUUUAGGGUUGUAAAACUCUGGCGCAAGCGAACGGGUAGGUGGAGAAGAAGCGCCGGCUAACUACGUGCCAGCAGCCGCGGUAAUAC
rnacentral:rRNA from 1 species